GAUGAACGCUGGCGGCGUGCCUAAUACAUGCAAGUCGAGCGAAUGGAUUAAGAGCUUGCUCUUAUGAAGUUAGCGGCGGACGGGUGAGUAACACGUGGGUAACCUGCCCAUAAGACUGGGAUAACUCCGGGAAACCGGGGCUAAUACCGGAUAACAUUUUGAACCGCAUGGUUCGAAAUUGAAAGGCGGCUUCGGCUGUCACUUAUGGAUGGACCCGCGUCGCAUUAGCUAGUUGGUGAGGUAACGGCUCACCAAGGCAACGAUGCGUAGGCGACCGGAGAGGGUGAUCGGCCACACUGGGACUGAGACACGGCCCAGACUCCUACGGGAGGCAGCAGUAGGGAAUCUUCCGCAAUGGACGAAAGUCUGACGGAGCAACGCCGCGUGGGUGAUGAAGGCUUUCGGGUCGUAAAACUCUGUUGUUAGGGAAGAACAAGUGCUAGUUGAAUAAGCUGGCACCUUGACGGUACCCAACCAGAAAGCCACGGCUAACUACGUGCCAGCCGCCGCCGUAA
rnacentral:rRNA from 1 species